rnacentral:lncRNA from 1 species
GUCAGUAACUAUGUCCACUGUCUGCCAUUACUUAGCAUAUAGCAGACACUCCAGGGACAUUUGCUGAAUGAAUGAAUGAACCAAUGAGUAAGUGAGAUAGGAUCUCCAUAGGUCCCUUCAGUCUCCAGCUCCUGAAACUUAAAACUCGUGUCAGCACAGGGAGGAGCUGACGCUGGAUUCCCCUUGAGGGCUUUGGUGUUGAAAUGGGAGAAAUUACCCAUAGACAUGGGUGUGACCCCUUUAUGACUUUUUAAAAGUCAUAAUCAUAAAUCAUAAGCCCAUGUGGCCCACACUCGGAUGUCAUUAAGUUAGCCUGGGUGGCUGCAUUAUUCCUGCAAAUUCACUCGACUUUCAGAGAGCAGUGAGGUGAUGGUGCUGGUGGUGGUGGUGGUGGUGGGAGUGUGGAAUUGAGCAGAAAAACAGGAAUAGCAAAGGGUGACCUUUGUUCCCCACUCAAGAGGAGCCAGGCGCGGUUCUGGGAGCUCCACUCGUUUGAUGCCUGGAAUGUGAGGGGGCAGUGGUGAAGUUCAUCGACUCCAGAAUCAAAUGCCUGAGUGAAAAUCCCAGCUCAGACAUUCUUGUGUGAUUUCCAGCAAGUCAGUUAACCCCCAGCACCUCGGUUUCCUCAAGUGUAAGCUUGGAUGAUGCCUGAACCUGCCUCACAGAACUGUGGAAAUGAUUAAGUGAAUCAACGCUGGGAGGGGCUCAGAACAGCGCCUGGCACAGAGCAAGCGCAACUUGUGUGCUUGGUAUUUUCAAAUAACAACAAACCAUAUUUGCUCAAGGAACAGACUUUGGUUGGAAAGUUCUUUUAAUCGGUUCCUGGGUGGCCAGACAAGCAGUCCGCUCUGCUUAGAACUAGGAGACUCUAGCUCCAGCCUCGGCCCUGCCCUUACUGGCUGUGUGAUUUGGGGAAAGUUACUGGAUCUUUCUGAGCCCCAAUUCACACGUGUGUGAAAUCAGCUGUGGUCCUUCUUCACGAGAUUCCCAUGAGCAUUCAGUGAAAUCCUGGCUCAAGUGGCUGAACCUGAGUCUCUUCUUUACAGCCAAUUAAUCUAAGAUCCACACAGGCCAAUCGAACAUCAGGGCAGCGAUCGUGUUUCUCUGAGCUCAGCACAGGCCGCUAUUAGAAGCCCGAGGAGUCGUUAAUAACACAGCCUCACUGUCUUUUCCCCUUUCCUGCCGUGGGCCGCUGAGGAGCUGGAACUGUGUUGUCCACAGUGGGGCUGGGGCGGCAUUGAAGGAGCGUCAGGAGCUCUCGGUCCCGACAGAGAAAACAAUAUGCCUGUGCUUCUCCAAGGGCCGUGCUCUCCACCACAAACAUACCGGGGCCCCGUUCCGGGGUGUCACAUGACUUUCCUGAGCUGGAGGAAAGUCCACCUUCCUCGUGGAUCAGGGACCGUCUUGGGUGGCGUCUUGGCUGCACUGGCCGAGGGCAGAUUGUGCUUUGUGAGGGGGAUUUGCGCAGAAUCGAUUUAUGCUCUUAGGUUGGCUGGCGCGGCCGAACAAAGGAUGGAAGCGGAGCUGUGGAGGCUGCAGGGAGGUGAGGAGGAGCGGGCGGAGAGCAGCACAGGAGGGACCCUCCCGCCCCGUGGCGUGGAGAUGCUCCUCUGCACACAGGCUGCGGCGGGGGCCUGCCCACCUGCUGCUGCCGUCUUGUUUCCAAGGACCGGCUCCAGAAAGGGGGUUAUGGGGCCAGGGCUAAUGGUGGAAUGGGGCACCUCUAAGGCACAGCUCCUGAAAGCGUGGCCUGGGGGCCACCUGCUGGUCAGGAGGGGCCUUCCUUAUGUUCUUCCCGGCAGAUGGUCAGGAAUUCUCCGGACUUUCAUCUUUACAUACAAGUAAGGGAAGCAAGAAGCAACUUAUUAAGCUGUUAUAAUCAUUAAGUUGGGGUCCAUGGGACAGGGAAAAAAUAUUAACAAUGCAUGUCCCUCUCUGCCCUUCUAAGCGGGGUUGAUGGACGGAUGGGUUGACUGACACGCUCUCCGAUCUUUAUAGUUUUGGUCAGGGGAAUGGGUUAUAGUUACAUGACAAAGACACAGUGAAAACAUGCAGCAAAGAGAAGAGACCUUAAAGGCGAGGGAAGGUGGGACAGAGGAGGGGGCAAGGGCUGUUAGGGAGAGCGAGGUUGGGUCAGCUGCUGCUUCGCGUGGGACUUUGGGGAGAGGUCCGAGCACAGAGGACACUUAUGUUGUGGCCAGCCACGUCUCCUGAACCCCAUUCCUGUAUAUGGGGACACGCCCACUGCUGAGUCCUGAGCUAGUUCAGGUCCCACGGGCAGCAGAGGCCCAGCUGGAAUUAGAUGUGCAAGAGACUUAUUGGGUGUGAUGCCUGUGAUGGACGAGAGGGAGACCGAGCAGGCGGCGGGAGAUGCUUCAGCCCACAGUGCGGAUGUGACACCCGAGAAAGGAGAAGCAGAAGGAAGGCGGGUUGGGCAGAAAGAGGCUCAGCCUGCAGGGCAACAAGCAGGAAGUCUUGGCCAGCUGACAGGGAGCCCCGGCAUGAAGAUGACCCUUUGGAGGAGCCGGCUUGGGGCCGGCAUGGCCUGCUCUGGCAGCCCCGCCCUGCUCCACUGUUGUCUGGGGACAGAAAGGAGGGAGGUCUGAGCAGUGCACCCCCACGGCGGCCACAAACUUGAGAGGAGGGACAGAGCAGCCCCAAAGGGGGCGGGUUCUGGCGGCAGAAGUCCUCCGCGGGAGUGAGGGGUAGAAGGCGAGGAGGGUCCCAGGAUGACGGCCCAGGGGGCCCCAUGGGAUGGAAGCAGAAGCAUGGUUUCAAACAGGCUGCCGUGUGGGCCACUGCCUCAACCUGCCACUGCCUCCACCUGCGGGUUCUUAAGACGCCCCUGGCUGCCACAAGGCCCCGUAUCUUCCCACAAAGCCCCAGUCGGUGUGGCAACAGCUUGCGGUCACACGCUCGCGGUUCUCAGUGCUGCUGUGCGUUGGAUCCCCUGGGUGGCUGAGGCCUGCCUCCCAGAGCUGCUGACCCAUUGGUCUGGGAGCAGCUGGGCACCAGGACUUGUGUGAGUUCCCAACGAGAUUCCCACGUGCAGCAGGCCGAGAGCCUCCCGUCCACACCAAGAGUGAUGGGCAGUUUGAUCGUUCCUAUUGCCUCCAACAGCUUGUGCUGUCCAAGUGUGUGUGUCCGUGCCUGUGUCCCAGCUCCGGGGACCUCCAGUGCUGGGCACCAAGGACUUGGACACUCCCAUUCAGGGGUCUCAUUAAACCCACGCCGGGAUCCUUUAUUGGCGGGUGUUAGAUGUUUCUAGAAGCACCACCAG